rnacentral:rRNA from 1 species
UACGGAGGGUGCGAGCGUUGUUCGGAAUUACUGGGCGUAAAGCGCGCGCAGGCGGAUGUGCAAGUCGAAGGUGAAAUUCCGGGGCUCAACCCCGGAACUGCUCUCGAUACUGCAUGUCUAGGGACCGGUAGAGGUCGGUGGAAUUCCCGGUGUAGCGGUGGAAUGCGUAGAUAUCGGGAGGAACACCUGUGGCGAAGGCGGCCGACUGGGCCGGAUCCGACGCUGAGGCGCGAAAGCGUGGGGAGCAAACAGG